UACGUAGGGUGCGCGCGUUAAUCGGAAUUACUGGGCGUAAAGCGUGCGCAGGCAGAUUGUUAAGCAAGAUGUGAAAUCCCCGGGCUUAACCUGGGAAUGGCAUUUUGAACUGGCAAUCUAGAGUGUGUCAGAGGGGGGUAGAAUUCCACGUGUAGCAGUGAAAUGCGUAGAGAUGUGAAGGAAUACCGAUGGCGAAGGCAGCCCCCUGGGUCGACACUGACGCUCAUGCACGAAAGCGUGGGGAGCAAACAGG
rnacentral:rRNA from 1 species